AUCCUUUUACUGUAAGUGCCGCCAUUUACUUCUGGACUCUGUUCAUUGGAUCCAUGGGACUGUCCUCAGUACCACACUCUCUCAGUUAGUGUGUAUGUUUUCCUUUUUCAUAGAGAGGUUUUAAAAUUUUGCUGAUCUGCCAGUCUUUUCUUUUGGGUCUCUUCUGCUGAAUUUAAGCCCAGAAAACACUUCUAAAUACAAAGCAGAGGGAAUAGGAAGAAUGGAGGUGCAGAGAUGCUGCCCCGAGCACCUACUGUAUCAAGAACAGGCUGCGGGCGUGACUUUGACACUCCUGGCGGCCAAAGAGAAAAAGGCUAUAAAGUUUUAUCUACCAGGAAGGAGAAAGCAAUUUUAGUUUGCUCAGAAGUUUUAUAUACAUGGUGAUACAUGUCCUAAAGAACAUAAUUAAGAUCAACCGUCCUCCAUGUCCUCCAUCAUCAUUUUCACCUUUUCUCUUCUUCAACUUUGGAUCAAAUGAAUUUGCUCCCUCCUCGUCACAGCCAGCAGAUUCCCUAUGAUUGGCUUCCGUCAAAGAUCCAGGGUCUGGUGCUGCUCCUGACACCUGUUCAGGGACUCAGGGACAUCUGUUUUGUAGUCUCUUGCUCCUGAUCAGCUGGUGAGGGGACAACCACCCCCCACACUGGCCGAGGUUUUUGUCUUGUCUGGAUUCAUGUGUUUUUCUGUAGAAACACAAGAUGUAACUGCAGUGGAUAAACACUCAUCGGCAUGAACUGGGCAACUGUAAUAAAUCAGGUACACUUUGGAAUGAGAUGUAAUGCACAGCUCGCAUCCCCUACAUGGGGAUGAAGACUCGGGAGAAACAGGCCGGUGAAAGCCCGUGAGUUCCAGGCAUGAGCAACCACCAUCUACUUCCUGUCUCUAUGAAUUUGACUGCUUCAGGGACGUCAUCUAAAUGGAAGUAUCCUAACUGUGCCUUUGGGGUCUGGUUAUUUUGCUUUGCACAAGUUCAUCCAUGUCAUAACAUGUGUCAAAAUUUCAUUAUCUUUUAAGUGUGAAUAAUAUUCCAUUGUAUGUAUAUGCCAUAUCUUGUUUAUCCAUUGAUAAAUUGUUGAUAGAUACUUGGGUUGUUCCCAUCUUUUUGCUAUUGUGAAUAAUGUUGCUAUAAAUAUUGAUAUACAGGAGUCCCUGUUUUUAAUUCUUUCAGUUAUAUAUUUAAAAGCAGUAUCACUGGAUCAUAUGAUAAUUCUAUGUUUUUAAUUUCUCUAUGUCCUCACCAACAGACUGAAGCAUCUUUAAGCAAAGGAUUUUUACACAUACAUAAUCUUUACAGCAUGAUAUCCUCAAUAGUUUUAUCCAAACUCUCAAUAGUUUAAAAAAAUAGCUCUCAGUGUUCAGGAUCUGAGCCCAAAUAAAACAUCUCCAAGAAAAGUUUAUCUGAUAAUUCAUGAUGGAAGACGGAAAACAUACUAAUAAAUGGCACUUUAUUUUGAAAAGA